UCCCUGAUGGUCCAGUGGCUAAGAACUCCAUGCUCCCUAUGCAGAGGCCCUGGUUCAAUCCCUGGUCAGGGAA
rnacentral:tRNA from 1 species